rnacentral:lncRNA from 1 species
CUGUCCAUUGUUGGUAGAAGCACAACUGGAGGUACAACAGCAUCUAGCCACACAGCUUGGCUUGUAUUAUUUUACUUACGAGUACCUGCCCGACAUUUUCCUCGCAACAGCAAUAAUGAUUCCAGCAAUGAUUCCAACUGCUACUAUGAUGCCAAUUAUGAUUCCAACUAGUGCAGCUGUUCCCAGGCCAUCUGAGAGAGAAAAGAUCCUUUCUGCCUUGUUGGAGAGGAUAUUUCUCAAACCCAGGGUGGACGCAUCCCAUAGGAAAGGCUGGGUUUUUGGACGUGGGUCACAUCAAAUGUGAGGUUGUGCAUGAAUUAGAGUUGAGCAAAGGAUGGAUGAUUUGGGCCCAGUAUUUGAACCAAAAAAUUAGAGGAGGAAAAUCAGGUCAGGCUGAAUCAAAA